rnacentral:rRNA from 1 species
GACGAACGCUGGCGGCGUGCCUAAUACAUGCAAGUCGAACGCAGUGGGGACGGGUGAUUAACACGUGGGUAACCUCCCAUCAGAGGGGAUAACACUUGGAAACAGGUGCUAAACCGAUACUGAUUGAUGGACCCGCGGUGCAUUAGCUAGUUGGUGAGGUAACGGCUCACCAAGGCCAGGAUGCAUAGCCAACCACAGAGGGUGAUCGGCAACAAUGGGAUGGAGAGACGGCCCAGACUCCUACGGGAGGAAGCAGUAGGGAAUCUUCGGAAAGGGACGAGAGGCUGAACGAGCAACGCCGCGUGAAUGAAGAAGGUUUUCGGGUAGUAAAACUCUGUUGUUAGGGAAGCGGUAUCUAACCAGAAGGCCAAGGCGAACUACGUGCCAGCAGCAGCGGUGAUUC